rnacentral:rRNA from 1 species
UACGUAGGUGGCGAGCGUUGUCCGGAUUUACUGGGCGUAAAGCGCGCGCAGGCGGCUUAUCAAGUCUGGGGUGAAAUGUCCCGGCUCAACCGGGAAGCGUCUCUGGAUACUGAUGAGCUUGAGGGGAGCAGAGGAGAGCGGAAUUCCCGGUGUAGCGGUGAUAUGCGUAGAUAUCGGGAGGAACACCAGUGGCGAAGGCGGCUCUCUGGGCUCUCCCUGGCGCUGAGGCGCGAAAGCGUGGGGAGCAAAC